rnacentral:rRNA from 1 species
AAUAAGGCGGAGGAAAAGAAACUAACMAGGAUUCCCCUAGUAACGGCGAGUGAAGCGGGAAGAGCUCAACUUUGUAAUCUGGCUGCUUCGCAGUCCGAGUUGUAGUCUAUAGAAGCAUGAUCCGCGCCGGACCUUGGCCAUGUCUGUUGGAAAGCAGUGUCAAAGAGGGUGAUAAUCCCGUACAUACCAAGGACGACCGUGUGCAUUGUGGUCUGCUCUCUAAGAGUCGAGUUGUUUGGGAAUGCAGCUCUAAUCGGGUGGUAAAUUCCAUCUAAAGCUAAAUACCGACGAGAGACCGAUAGCGAACAAGUACAGUAAUGGAAAGAUGAAAAGUAGCCUGCAGAGGCAAUGAAACAAUACGUGAAACCGUUUGUAGGGAAACGAUGGAACCUUUUCACGCUGCAGGGGCUCAGCCUGGCUUCGGCUUGGUGUAUUCCCCUGUUUUGCGGGCCAGCAUCAGUUUGCUUUGCGGUAUAAGGGUGAUUGGAAUGUGGCUCCCACGGGAGUGUUAUAGCCUUUCACUGGAUGCCGCGUCGCAGACUGAGGACUGCAGUGCGCCAUUAGGCAUUACCCCCGGGUAACGAGCACUUAGGAUGCUGGUAGAAUGGGUUUCAACGACCCGUCUUGA